UCAGUAGAGACUUACUGCCCUUCACACUGCGGCUACCCCAGGCCAUCCUUGAGGCCAGCAGCUUCACGGACCUUGAGACCAUCGCCAACCUGGGUCUGGGAGAUAUUCCUCCUGGAAGAACUGCAUUCCUUUCUGGCACAGACAAGACCUUCUCUCCUGGGAGAGUUUGAUCUCAGGCAUAAGGAGGAAAUGGAGAAGGGAGGUUUCCAUUUGGGAAGCCAACAGCAGUUCAGAUUCAUCUAUCAGCACUUACUUCCUAGAGAACAGGAUUUAAAUGGAAGCUGAGUGUGUUGCAGCUUAGGAGCUGAAGGGAUCUGUGCAGACCUGGUGUCCCUGAGUGCUGAAAGACAUAAAGCCAGGCUCACCACAAUCAUUUUCCCCUGGAGCCAAGGAAAGGUUCACUUUACAGUCAUCUGAAUGGCUGGAGACCCAGGGCACAAGGAGCACAUCCUAUCAAAGGCCAGAGACCUUGGCCCUGGCAUGGGCAGGCUUGGGCCCUGCCAACCUUCAUGUGAAAUAGUGAUAAUAAAUAUGGAAAGAGCAGCGUUUGUCAAGGGCCCUGACACACCAGGCAUUGUGCCUGGCAUGUCACACAUUGUUCUAGGAAGGGACUUUGGUGGCAAAGAAGUGAAACCCACUCAAACUAGCAUCAAAAAGAGACUUAGAGAAAGGAUGCCAGGGACCCUCUGAGAAAUGGAGAUGGAGGGUUAGCUGGGCUUUGUGGGCCAUUGCAGCUGCUCUGUCACACGUGCCAGCCCCUGGCUCCCUGCACAUGGCCUCCUUGCUGACUCAGGUUCCUACUCCCCUGCUCCCCCGACUAGCAGGGCUCUGACUCAGCUCGCAGCCCCACCUGACCACUGUUCUU
rnacentral:sRNA from 1 species